rnacentral:tRNA from 1 species
UGGGGUGUGGCUCAGUGGUAGAACGCUCGCUUCACAUGUGUGAGGCUCUGGGUUCAAUUCUCAGCACUGCAU